AGUGUCAUGGAUUAUUGGCACAGCUGUGUGAUAAAAUCCUACAUUUGUAGUUUAGCAUCAUGUCAGGUACAACCAGUCUGCUAGCUGUUAGGUAUUUCUGCCUGAAGUUGACCUCCAGCAUGCUCUCACGCAGCAACCAGAGCUCCUCCUGCAAGCACCUCAAAUGAGACCUCACUCACACCCACUCCACCCAGCAGCUCCUCUGACUCUCAGGCCUCACCUACAGACACCACAGUGACAGCUCCCACUGCACGUUGGACGUUUCUUUAUUACACAGGACUGUGAUGACAUUGAUGUGAAUAUAAACAAAGAACACGGCGCUGCUGAGUUACAAGUACCUGUAAGGUGCUCUGAGCUGUUGUACAUUCAUGCUACAUAAUCACAAACUAAUGAUUUUGUUCUUUUCUGAUCUCAUUUAAAUGCAUCGUUUCAGCCAACAAGACGACUCCUGAGCCUCCAAAGUGUUCCUACACUGUCACACCCAUCGAGUCUGGACUGCAGAUUAACCUGAUGAACUUCACCCCUGGUGACUACAACAUUAUUGUUAAAGGAGGUCGACGAGUGAUUAACAACACGGUCAUCUUUAAUCACUCUGGUCAACACAACAUCCAACACCUGAAGCCCUGCACUGAAUAUGAGCAUCACGUUUUAUACAAUUAUGGCAAUAAAACACUCCAGUGUACCUGCAAUGGAAAUAAAACUAAAACAAAAGAAAUGAGUGAGAUGGACAUUACAGGGCAAAGCAGCAUAAAUGGAUGUGUUUGUUACCAGAGUAACUGGGACAUCAGCUCUUCUAUAUCAGCACCAAAUGUAACUUCAGCUGAUCAGUGCAGCAGUGACAGUAAAAGCUUCUGUGUCAAACACGGAGACAUUUGCUCUGAUUUUGAAACAACCUUUACUUCAGGAAACUGUCCUUCAUUUAGCAUCACCACAAACAUCAUUGUUGAUUUAUAUAAUUCAAGUGAAAUACAGCAAAGUCAUUCCACUGGACUUCCUGCAGUAAUAGGGCGAA